rnacentral:rRNA from 1 species
AUACGUAGGGGGCGAGCGUUGUCCGGAAUGAUUGGGCGUAAAGGGCGCGUAGGCGGCGCGGUAAGUCUGGAGUGAAAGUCCUGCUUUCAAGGUGGGAAUUGCUUUGGAUACUGCCGCGCUUGAGUGCAGGAGAGGUUAUCGGAAUUCCCGGUGUAACGGUGAAAUGCGUAGAGAUCGGGAGGAACACCAGUGGCGAAGGCGGGUAACUGGACUGCAACUGACGCUGAGGCGCGAAAGUGUGGGGAGCAAACAGGAUUAGAUACCCUGGUAGUCCACACUGUAAACGAUGAAUGCUAGGUGUAAGAGGUAUCGACCCCUUUUGUGCCGGAGUCAACACAAUAAGCAUUCCGCCUGGGGAGUACGGCCGCAAGGUUGAAACUCAAAUGAAUUGACGGGG